rnacentral:lncRNA from 1 species
GAGAGGCAAGACUAGCAGUGUGUGGCCUAGGAUAGGAGUAGAUAAAAGGCAGCCAUGGUGAGCCAGAACCAUGAGGAGUGGCUGCCUCUUGAAUCCUGUCAGUCUCCAGCAGAUCCGAUUACAUCUGGGACCCUUAAGAGUACUUGAAGCAAACGGCGCUGGUCUAUUUUAAUCCUGCUCCUUCUAGAAACUAGAAACUGUAAGGAGAGUCUUCCUGCUGACAGGUGGCUCCAUGAAAGUCGUCCAUCUGCUGCUAAUUAUGGCAGAAGGAAAAUUCACAGAGCCGAGUUUUCAGUUUAUUUGCUAAAGAUCUCCAAAGGUAUAACUGUCUUCCCAGAUCACAAGGCCAUUCACAGCAUUACAUCUAUAGCGCUUGUUAAUUAUUUAAAUAAUUU